UAGAGGAAGUAAAAGUCGUAACAAGGUUUCCGUAGGUGAACCUGCGGAAGGAUCAUUAUUGAAAUAAACCUGAUGGGUUGUUGCUGGUUCUCUAGGGAGCAUGUGCACACCUUGUCAUCUUUAUAUCUCCACCUGUGCACUUUUUGUAGACCUUUCAGGUCUAUGUUGCUUCAUUUACCCCAAUGUAUGUUAAUAGAAUGUUGUGCCUAUAUAAUAUAUACAACUUUCAGCAACGGAUCUCUUGGCUCUCGCAUCGAUGAAGAACGCAGCGAAAUGCGAUAAGUAAUGUGAAUUGCAGAAUUCAGUGAAUCAUCGAAUCUUUGAACGCACCUUGCGCUCCUUGGUAUUCCGAGGAGCAUGCCUGUUUGAGUGUCAUUAAUAUAUCAACCUUCUCUUUUUUGAGUUGUUUGGAUGUGGGGGUUUGCUGGCCUCUUAAAUGAUUCAGCUCCCCUGAAAUGCAUUAGCAGAACAACCUGUUCAUUGGCGUGAUAAUUAUCUAUGCUAUUGAAUGUGAGGGCAGUUCAGCUUUCUAACCGUCCUCGGACAAUUCAUCAUUAAUGUGACCUCAAAUCAGGUAGGACUACCCGCUGAACUUAAGCAUAUCA
rnacentral:rRNA from 1 species